GCUGCUACUCCUAUUCCUACUCCUACUCCCAUGGGGCUAGUAGUAGUAGCUAUAGCCUACAGCUAGUACAACACCCACGCGUCUACUACUCGUGAGGGCACUUACAGUGCGUCACCAAUUUUUGAGGGGCAACACUGCCACCUACUAAGAACUUUACAAGCGACAACCUCCACAGUGCAUGUGGUCUUCUUUUUCCUUCACAGUGGGUCCCACCCUUCUCUCUCCUCACUUUUUACCUCCUCUCCUCUCUCUCCCUGCCUUCCCCAACCAGGCCACAAAACUGCUCCGUCUAGUGCGCCGCCGGCGCCUCCCACACACCGCCGUCGCCCCUCUCCCCCUCCGGAUCUGGCGGCCCGCCGGCGGCGACACGGCGCGGGAGCCGGAGGCGGACGACCCUGAGGCGAUCUCGGCGAAGGGCGCUAGCGGCGGACGACCCCGAGGCGGGCUCAGCGGAGCGCGCCAGCGGCGACGCGGCGGAGACGGCGGCGCGGGUGGCGACGGUGCCGAGGCAGCCACCCUCUCCUCCCCCGAAGCGGCGGCGGCGCCGCCGCGCUGCUUCGGCUUCGCCUUGGGCUUCUUCGACGAGGAGGACGCCGCGGCGCCGCCCUUCGGCCUCCCCAUGGCACGGGCGCGUCUCUCUCUCUCUCUCCUUCCGGGCAGCGCUUGCUGACGAGACGGCGGCGGCAGGCGGCUAGAUCCAGCCCGGGCAGAGAGGCGGCGCCGGGAGUUGGUUUGGUUUGCUUCUUCUCUGCUUCAACGGUUGGUCGACUUCAAUGCAAGAAAGCAUCGGCAGCAAUUGCUCCUCCCGUUUAGUUAGUGUCGUCCAUGGCCUCCAACGAAGAGGCCGGAUUCCCUUCUCUCCUGUGGGAUGAACUCAACGACGACGCGGGGCAGGAUGAACUCGACGACGACGCGGGGCAGGAUGAACUCGACGACGACGCGAGCGCGGGAGAACGACGAAACGAGGUCACGACCUCCACAAUGCGCGCAAGUGCCCGUUCCUCACGCCGCUCGCCCUGGAUUUGGCCGAGGAACACGUGACCAAAGUUGGACGCGCGGACUUGAGAAAAGUGUGCCAGAAGCUAACGUGGCAAGGAAUCUAUGCGCUGGCGCAGUGAGGCUGAACGCCACCUCACCGCAUUGUAAAUGGCCUCAGGCCCCAGCGUCGUCGAUCAGCAAGCAUUUGCUGUUGCGCCGUUGAGGACCUCUUUGCCUCCUCUCCUCUUAUCCGGCCACCGCCACCACCACUGCCUCUCCACCACAUUGGUCCUCUCUUCAGCACGGCUCCGCCGUGGAUUUCAUCGCCAUGACACGAGACCCCCGCCCUCCGCCCAUGCACGGCGGUGGUGGCUGGGAGAGAAAAAAUAGAAUGGACGAAGAAGAGAAGGAGAAUUGUCACUAACAUGUGGACCUCACCUUUUUUUAAUUUUUUUUAAUUUGUCACUUACAUGUGGGACACACUUAUAUUUUCAAUUCCUUUGAUGACUAGGCUACCCUCACAAUAGAAGAAAAGAGAUGCAAAACGAAGAGUAAAGAAAAGAAGAGAAUAUAUAACGAUUAUAGCCGUGCAUGUAGUAGGAAGAGGAAAGAAAGUAGUACAUCGCAUUUAUACAUUUACAAUCUAUGUGGUUGUAGUAAUACUUUUUAAAGGUAUUAUAUUUGCUCACAGUUCCGGCCCGUUUGAUACCCGAUAAAGCAAAUCUUGGUUUCGGUUCCCUUGCGAUGGGCCUGGGCGAGGGGGAACAUGUUAAGUAUCCGCCUGGGAUCAUGUUUUCUUAGGUCUAUUCUAGAUGUACAAUUUCAUUUCGGUAGUCAUUUUCCAUUUUAGUUGGAAAAUGCAGUUGGAUGUUUAGGGUACUAUAAGUGACCAAGGGGGUGGUAACUCAUAUCACAGAGGAAAACUUUGCAUAGAGUUCAUUACGAUUAAUGGGUGGCUCCGAGAUUUCUUGUGA